UACGUAGGGGGCAAGCGUUGUCCGGAUUUAUUGGGCGUAAAGAGCGUGUAGGCGGCCUUACAGGUCAGCUGUGAAAACUCGAGGCUCAACCUCGAGACGUCGGUUGAAACCGUAAGGCUAGAGUCCGGAAGAGGAGAGUGGAAUUCCCGGUGUAGCGGUGAAAUGCGCAGAUAUCGGGAAGAACACCCGUGGCGAAGGCGGCUCUCUGGGACGGUACUGACGCUGAGACGCGAAAGCGUGGGGAGCGAACAGGG
rnacentral:rRNA from 1 species